rnacentral:rRNA from 1 species
AUUGAACGCUGGCGGCAGGCCUAACACAUGCAAGUCGAGCGAGCGGCGGACGGGUGAGUAUUGUAUGGGGACUGCCCGAUAGAGGGGGAUAACUACAGGAAACGGUAGCUAAUACCGCAUCCUAUCGGAUAACCCAUAUUGGUUUAGCUGGUAGGUGAGGUAAUGGCUAACCUGGGCGACGAUCCCUAGCUGGUCUGAGAGGAUGAUCAGCCACACUGGGACGGAGACACGGCCCAGACUCCUACGGAGGCAGCAGGGGGGAAUUUUUGACAAUGGGGGAAACCCUGAGCCAGCCAUCCCGCGUGUAUGAUGAGGGCCUUCGGGUUGUAAAGUACUUUUGGCAGAGAAGCGGUAUCUGCAGAAUAAGCACCGGCUAACUACGUGCCAGCAGCCGCGGUAAUUC